UACGGAGGGUGCAAGCGUUAUCCGGAUUCACUGGGUUUAAAGGGUGCGUAGGUGGGCAGGUAAGUCAGUGGUGAAAUCUGCGAGCUUAACUCGGAAACUGCCGUUGAUACUAUUUGUCUUGAAUAUUGUGGAGGUAAGCGGAAUAUGUCAUGUAGCGGUGAAAUGCUUAGAUAUGACAUAGAACACCAAUUGCGAAGGCAGCUUACUACACAGUUAUUGACGCUGAGGCACGAAAGCGUGGGGAUCAAACAGG
rnacentral:rRNA from 1 species